UACAGAGGGUGCAAGCGUUAAUCGGAAUUACUGGGCGUAAAGCGUGCGUAGACGGUUGCGUAAGUCAGAUGUGAAAGCCCCGGGCUCAACCUGGGAAUUGCAUUUGAGACUGCGUAGCUAGGGUGCGGAAGAGGGAAGCGGAAUAUGUCAUGUAGCGGUGAAAUGCUUAGAUAUGACAUAGAACACCCAUUGCGAAGGCAGCUAACUACGCGAUCAUUGACGCUGAUGCACGAAAGCGUGGGGAUCAAACAGG
rnacentral:rRNA from 1 species